rnacentral:rRNA from 1 species
CCUACGGGAGGCAGCAGUGGGGAAUAUUGGGCAAUGGGCGCAAGCCUGACCCAGCAACGCCGCGUGAAGGAAGAAGGCUCUCGGGUUUUAAACUUCUUUUAUCAGGGACGAAGCAAGUGACGGUACCUGAUGAAUAAGCCACGGCUAACUACGUGCAGGCAGCCGCUGUAAUACGUAGGUGGCAAGCGUUAUCCGGAUUUACUGGGUGUAAAGGGCGUGUAGGCGGGAAAGCAAGUCAGAUGUGAAAACCAUGGGCUCAACCUGUUGCCUGCUUUUGAAACUGUUUUUCUUGAGUACUGGAGAGGCAGACGGAAUUCCUAGUGUAGCGGUGAAAUGCGUAGAGAUUAGGAGGAACACCAGUGGCGAAGGCGGUCUGCUGGACAGCAACUGACGCUGAGGCGCGAAAGCGUGGGGAGCAAAUAGGAUUAGAUACCCUGGUAGUC